rnacentral:rRNA from 1 species
GCCUAACACAUGCAAGUCGAGCGGGCGUAGCAAUACGUCAGCGGCAGACGGGUGAGUAACGCGUGGGAACGUACCUUUUGGUUCGGAACAACACAGGGAAACUUGUGCUAAUACCGGAUAAGCCCUUACGGGGAAAGAUUUAUCGCCGAAAGAUCGGCCCGCGUCUGAUUAGCUAGUUGGUGAGGUAACGGCUCACCAAGGCGACGAUCAGUAGCUGGUCUGAGAGGAUGAUCAGCCACAUUGGGACUGAGACACGGCCCAAACUCCUACGGGGGGCAGCAGUGGGGAAUAUUGGACAAUGGGCGCAAGCCUGAUCCAGCCAUGCCGCGUGAGUGAUGAAGGCCCUAGGGUUGUAAAGCUCUUUUGUGCGGGAAGAUAAUGACGGUACCGCAAGAAUAAGCCCCGGCUAACUUCGUGCCAGCAGCCGCGGUAAUAC